UUAAGCCAAGAGAGGAAGGCUGUAAAUCAGAAAGAGAGGACGUGAGUUUGCAGUGUGUUAAGCGAUUGUUGCCGUAAUUCUAAGCCAAUAUAGUGUGUUCAGUCGGGUGGAGAGAACGGUAAGGUAGUGUUAUUUUUAGCGGUUCUCACCGUAAUUCUAAGCCGAGGAAGUGUGUCUGUCCGUCGCGUGGAGAGGACGGCGAGGUUGUUGUGUUUUUAGCGGUUCCUAUCGUAAUUCUAAGCC